UUGAUGCAUUUCUUAAAGGCGAGAACUUGUGAACUGAUAAGCUUUCAUAUACUUUCACUAGCUUUCAACUUUCUAGAGACGCAGUUUGGGCAACAUGGUGACAAUAUAGUUCACAUGAUAAAAGAAGUUUAGAAAGCAACAAGAACAAUCCAAACUAUAUGUGGAGAGGCAAA